rnacentral:rRNA from 1 species
UACGGGGGGGGCAAGCGUUGUUCGGAAUUACUGGGCGUAAAGGGCUCGUAGGUGGCCAACUAAGUCAGACGUGAAAUCCCUCGGCUUAACCGGGGAACUGCGUCGGAUACUGGAUGGCUUGAGUUUGGGAGAGGGAUGCGGAAUUCCAGGUGUAGCGGUGAAAUGCGUAGAUAUCUGGAGGAACACCGGUGGCGAAGGCGGCAUCCUGGACCAACACUGACACUGAGGAGCGAAAGCCAGGGGAGCAAACGGG